AUGGCGGACCCCGUCGAGCUCGUGCGGCGCCUCUGCCUCCGUUUCCCGCCGCGUCGCUCCAGAGUGCCGUCGCCACAGCCGCGAUGCCUCGUCAGGGCUCGCCUCCGCCUCCCGGGCUCUGUCCUGUCGCUCCGGUGCCGCGCGCUCGACGCCAGCAAGCCGUCGGCAGUCAAGGGGGAGCCGAGCGAGGAGUACGACGACGAUGAGGAGCCGUACUUUUCCGUGACAUCGUCGAGGCUGUCGGAGGUGGACUACCUCGGGGAGAGCACCAAGGGGGAUUUGAACGUGCGCAGGAGGCACCUCGACGCGCUCGGUGGGAAUGGACAGUCAACAUUGCAUGGUCCUAUAGAGCAGAUAGCUUGGAAAGAAGCGAGACAAGCUGAAACGUUGCUCAGUGACCUGGGAAUUGCAGAUCCUUUAACAGUAAGGAACUCUCCUCGUGGAAUUUUCUGCACCAGGACACUAAAUCUUCGAUCUAUCAGUGUCAUUGGCUAUGACAUGGAUUAUACAUUGAUUCAUUACAACGUGAUGGCCUGGGAAGGGCGUGCAUAUGAUUAUGGGAUGGCCAACCUGAAGAGCAUGGGUUUCCUAGUAGACGACCUUGAAUUUGAUCCUGACCUGGUUAUUAGGGGUCUUAUUAUGGAUAAAGUAAAAGGAAACUUGGUAAAAGCUGACCGUUUUGGGUACAUCAAGAGGGUCAUGCACGGUACCCAAAUGUUGCCCACUCGUGCUGUGAGUGAAAUAUAUGGACGAGAGUUGGUGGACCUGCGGAAAGAAGAUACAUGGGAGUUCCUUAAUACCCUUUUCUCUGUUUCAGAAGCUGUCAUGUUCAUGCAGAUGGUUGACAAGUUGGAUCAGGGGUUGGUGCCUGCUGAACUUGGGCCACUGGAUUACAAAGGGCUGUACAAUGCUGUUUCCAAAGCACUUUUUCGAGCACAUGUAGAAGGUCAACUCAAGAGCGAAAUAAUGGCUGAGCCCGAGCGGUUUGUCGAGCCUGAUCCAGAACUGCCUCUAGCUCUUCUAGAUCAAAAGGAGGCUGGAAAAAGGUUGCUUCUUAUUACUAACUCAGAUUACCACUAUACAAACAAAAUGAUGAAUCAUGCAUUCAAUCGCUUUCUUCCUAAUGACAUGGGAUGGAGAGAUCUAUUUGAAAUGGUUAUAGUCUCCGCGAGGAAACCAGAGUUUUUCCAAAUUUCACAUCCAUUGUACGAGGUUGUCACUGACGAUGGUUUAUUACGUCCCUGUUUUAAGGCAAAUUCAGGUGGCUUGUACUCUGGUGGUAGUGCUCAGAUGGUUGAGAAGUCACUAGAUAUUCAUGGAGAUGAAAUAUUAUAUGUGGGGGACCAUAUUUUUACAGAUGUGAGCCAAUCAAAGGUUCAUUUACGAUGGAGGACAGCAUUAAUAUGCCGAGAACUGGAAGAUGAGUUUGACGCACUAAUCAAAAGCCAUGCUCAGAAAGAAAAGCUUGUCACACUUAUACAACAAAAGGAAAUUGUUGGAGACCUUUUCAACCAACUUCGCCUGGCUCUGCAGAGACGCACAAAUUCACGCCCUGCACAGACGCUUGCUGCAACUUGUAUGAAUGAUCAGGAGCUUACAGAAAGUAUGCAAAAGUUGCUCAUUGUUAUGCAGAGAUUAGAUGAAAAGAUCGUGCCAUUGCUGGAAUCAGAUGGAGAACUUUUCAAUAAAAGAUGGGGUUGGCUGUCACGCGCUGGCCUAUGGGACAAGAGUCAUCUAACCAGGCAAAUUGAGAAAUAUGCUGAUAUAUACACUUCAAGGGUUUCAAACUUUCUACACUAUACUCCAUUCAUGUAUUUUCGAUCACAAGAACAGACGCUUGCACACGACGUCCAUUCUUAUUCCGGCGAUCAAUAA
rnacentral:rRNA from 1 species